rnacentral:rRNA from 1 species
GACGAACGCUGGCGGCGUGCUUAACACAUGCAAGUCGAACGAAGUGGCGAACGGGUGAGUAACGAGUAAUCAACCUGCCCUUCAGAGGGGGACAACAGUUGGAAACGACUGCUAAUACCGCAUACUGAAGGAGGGGAUUGCGUCUGAUUGGCUAGGUGGAGGGGUAACGGCCCACCAAGGCGAUGAUCAGUAGCCGGGCUUAGAGGAUUAACGGCCCCAAUGGGACUGAGACACGGCCCAGGAUCCUACGGGAGGCAGCAGUGGGGAAUCUUCCGAAAUGGACGAAAGUCUGACGGAGCAACGCCGCGUGAGUGAUGACGGCCUUCGGGUUGUAAAGGUCUGUUAAUCGGGACGCGGUACCGGAAUAGAAAGCCACGGCUAACUACGUGCCAGCAGCCGCGGUAAUAC